CCUACGGGAGGCAGCAGUGGGGAAUCUUGCGCAAUGGCCGAAAGGCUGACGCAGCGACGCCGCGUGGGGGAUGACGGGCUUCGGCUUGUAAACCCCUGUUGCCCGGGACGAACUUCUGGCUUUGGCCAGAUUGACGGUACCGGGUGAGGAAGCACCGGCUAACUCCGUGCCAGCAGCCGCGGUAAUACGGAGGGUGCGAGCGUUGUCCGGAAUCACUGGGCGUAAAGGGCGCGUAGGCGGCGGGGUAAGCGUGCGGUGAAAGCUCGGGGCUCAACUCCGAGUCGGCCGUGCGAACUGCUCUCGCUGGAGCAUUGUAGAGGUCGAUGGAAUUCCGGGUGUAGCGGUGGAAUGCGUAGAGAUCCGGAAGAACACCGGUGGCGAAGGCGGUCGACUGGGCAAUGGCUGACGCUGAGGCGCGACAGCGUGGGGAGCAAACAGGA
rnacentral:rRNA from 1 species